rnacentral:rRNA from 1 species
GUAGGUGGCAAGCGUUGUCCGGGAAUUAUUGGGGCGUAAAGCGCGCGCAGGCGGUUCUUUAAGUCCGAUGUGAAAGCCCACGGGCUCAACCGUGGAGGGUCAUUGGAAACUGGAGAACUUGAGUACAGAAGAGGAAAGCGGAAUUCCACGUGUAGCGGUGAAAUGCGUAGAGAUGUGGAGGAACACCAGUGGCGAAGGCGGCUUUCUGGUCUGUAACUGACGCUGAGGCGCGAAAGCGUGGGGAGCAAACAGGAUUAGAUACCCUGGUAGUCCACGCCGUAAACGAUGAGUGCUAAGUGUUAGGGGGUUUCCGCCCCUUAGUGCUGCAGCUAACGCAUUAAGCACUCCGCCUGGGGAGUACGGCCGCAAAGGCUGA